UCCGGCUUAUCACCGGCAGUUUCUCUAGAGUGCCCAACUAAAUGUAGCAACUAAUGACAAGGGUUGCGCUCGUUGCGGGACUUUACCCAACAUCUCACGACACGAGCUGACGACAGCCAUGCAGCACCUGUGUUCAGGUUCCCUUUCGGGCACUCUCUGAUCUCUCAAAGAUUCCUGACAUGUCAAGGGUAGGUAAGGUUUUUCGCGUUGCAUCGAAUUAAUCCACAUCAUCCACCGCUUGUGCGGGUCCCCGUCAAUUCCUUUGAGUUUUAAUCUUGCGACCGUACUCCCCAGGCGGGAUGCUUAAAGCGUUAGCUGCGCCACUGAGCGGCAAGCCGCCCAACAGCUGGCAUCCAUCGUUUACGGCGUGGACUAC
rnacentral:misc_RNA from 1 species